GUGCUCACUUCAGCAGCAUACUCACUAAAAUUGGAAUGAUACAGAGAAGACUAGCACGGCCCCUAUGCAAGGAUGGCAUGCAAAUUUGUCAAGCGUUCCAUAUUUUA